CCCUUAGAUGUCCUGGGCCGCACGCGCGCUACACUGAACGGAUCAGCGCGUUUUCCCUUCCCGAGAGGGACGGGUAACCUGCUGAACCCCGUUCGUGGUAGGGAUCGGGGCUUGCAAUUAUUCCCCGUGAACCAGGAAUGCCCAGUAAGUGCAAGUCAUAAGCUUGCGUUGAUUACGUCCCUGCCCUUUGUACACACCGCCCGUCGCUACUACCGAUUGAACGUUUUAGUGAGGUACUCGGACUGAGCCUCAGAAGAUUCACGUCUUUUGUGCUGCUCGGGAAGAUUCCCAAACUUGAGCGUUUAGAGAAAGUAAAAGUCGUAACA
rnacentral:rRNA from 1 species